CAUCACAGACCCAUGAGUGCAGCAGUGUCCUCUCUGGCCUCCCUGUCUCCAGUGGUGAAGUUGGGGAAGGGUGGCCCUAGGUAUGCCUCCCACCCUAAUGUUCCUACUUCAGGGUAAGCUCCCUGAGCAGGGAUGAGGCUGUCUAGCACAGCCUGGCAUUCCACUGCCAACCACCAGACUCAACACCAGAUUGGAAAACAGCUCCAGAGGAAGGAUAUCGUUUGUUUGAGGUCACCCGGUUUGCGAAGAUGAAGUCAGAGUUUACAGCCCAUGUUGUUCACCGAUGAGUUACGUCACUAACCACGUUCCAAAGUGAUGCUGAUGGAAAGAAUGCUGGUGCUUCAGAGUCCUGGGGCAACCUUGAGAAGCUGCAGAGGAGUGGACGACCACGAGCUGGGGCUUGUUUUAGAUGCUCCUUCUCUUCAAAUUUCGUGCUCAUCAAAGUACAUAUUUUUCUGCACUGUAUCAAAGAAUCCUUUGUUUAAUAGAAGACACAGAAUAAUUCGGUAUGGACCUUUGUCUGAGGCUGAGUAAUAUUUCUUGGCAUUAUCUUUAUCUAUUCAUCUGUCGAUGGACACUAAGCUGUUUCCAUACCUUGGCUCUUGUGAACAAGGCUGCAGUCAACACAAGAAUGCACAUGUCUCUUUGAGAUUCCGAUGUCAAUUCUGGUGGAUAUAUACCCCAAAGUGGGAUCGCUGGAUUGUGCUGAGUGAAAGAAGCCAGUCACAGAAGGACAAAUAUUGUGUGAUUCCACUUAUGUGAGCUAUCUGAAACGGUUCAACUCACUAUAGUUGACAACACUGCAUUGUGUCAUUGAAAUUUGCGAAGAGAGAACUUAAAUAUGCUUGCAAGAAAAAGAGAGAAAGAGAAGAAAAGAGAAACCUGUGUGGUGACGGAUGUGUUAUUUAUCCUGAUGAGGGGAAUCCUUUCGCAAUGUAUCAAAUCAUGUCAUUGUAAAUAGCUAACACGUUUAUUUGGCAGUGAUGCCCUAUUAAAACUGAAAAAAUACCCCCCAAACCAAAAAAGAAGGAAAAAAUGUCAAACUCACAGAAACAGAGGAGAAUGGUGAUUGCCAGGAGCUGGGGGAAGAGGAAAGAGGGAGCUGCUGUCUGACAGGCACAAAGUUUCAGUCGUGCAAGAUGAAGGCAUCAGAAGAGAUCACAUUCAUGUGCUUAGAGAACGUCACAUGUGCUCUGUGUCCUCCACGUAGGCAGGGCGGGAUGGCUGAAGUGGGCUGGAGUCCCCACAGGUAG